rnacentral:rRNA from 1 species
UACAGAGGUCUCAAGCGUUGUUCGGAUUCAUUGGGCGUAAAGGGUGCGUAGGCGGCGUGGUAAGUCGGGUGUGAAAUCUCGGAGCUUAACUCCGAAACUGCAUUCGAUACUGCCGUGCUUGAGGACUGGAGAGGAGACUGGAAUUUACGGUGUAGCGGUGAAAUGCGUAGAUAUCGUAAGGAAGACCAGUGGCGAAGGCGGGUCUCUGGACAGUUCCUGACGCUGAGGCACGAAGGCCCAGGGGAGCAAACGGG